UACGUAGGUGGCGAGCGUUGUCCGGAUUUACUAGGCGUAAAGAGCGCGCAGGCGGUCGUACAAGUCGCGUGUGAAAGCCCCCGGCUCAACUGGGGAGGGUCACGCGAUACUGUUCGACUCGAAGGCAGGAGAGGGUAGUGGAAUUCCCGGUGUAGCAGUGAAAUGCGUAGAGAUCGGGAGGAACAUCUGUGGCGAAGGCGACUGCCUGGACCAGCACUGACACUGAGGCACGAAAGCGUGGGGAGCAAACAGG
rnacentral:rRNA from 1 species